AUGAGAGAAGAGAGAGAAGAGAUGAGAGGAAAGGAGAAUGGAAGGAGAGAGAAAGGAAGGCGAGAGAAAGAAGGAGAAAGAAAGGAGAAAGGAGAAAGAGGAGAGAGAGAAAGAAGAAAGAGGAGAGAGAGAAAGAAGAGAGAGAAGAGAGAGAGAGAGAAGAGAGAGAAGAGAGAGAAGAAAGAAGAAGAGAGAAAGAAGGAGAAAGAAAGAAGAAAGAGAGAGAAGAGAGAGAGAAGAGAGAGAGAAGAGAGAGAGAAGAGAGAGAAGAGAGAGAGAAGAGAGGAGAGAGAAAGAGAAGAGAGAGAAGAGAGAGAAGAGAGAGAGAAGAAAGAAGAGAGAAAGAAGAGAGAAAGGAGAGGGAAGAAAGAGAGAAAGAAGAGAGAGAGAAAGAAAGAAGAGAGAGAAGAAAGAAAGAAGAGAAAGAGAGAGAAAGAAGACAGAAAGAGACAAAGAAGAGAGAAAGAAGACAGAGAGAAGAAAGAAGAGAGAGAGAAGACAGAGAGAAGAAAAAAGAAGAGAAAGAAGAGAGAGAGAGAAAGAAGAGUGAAGAAAGAAGAGAGAAAGAAGACAGAAGAAAGAAAGAAGAGAGAGAGAAGACAAAGAGAAGAAAAAAGAAGAGAAAGAAAGAAGAGAGAGAGAGAAAGAAGAGUGAAAGCAAGGAGAGAGAAAGAAGAGAAAGCAAGGCGAGAAAGAAGAGAAAGCAAGGAGAAGGAAGAGAAAGCAAGGCGAGAGGGCCAGAAGCAGAGGGAGGCGGUGCUGCUCUCUUACCCCCGGGCCGCAGUCGCAGCCGUGGCCCUGGCCCGCAGCCUUGCCGGCCCGCAGCGCCGCGGGGAAGGGCUGAGCCCCCGGGCCCGCCUCGCCUUUGUCCGCAGCGCCGGGCCCCGGAACGGCCGCUCCCGCCAGGGGCUGGCUCGGGAAGAACGGCAGCACGCCCAUCCCCGCCGCCGCCGCCGCCAUGGGAGCUGCGGGACAGGCUGCAGGCAGCCAGAAACCAGAGACUGCUGUUAA
rnacentral:lncRNA from 1 species